rnacentral:misc_RNA from 1 species
AAUUCUCAACCUUUAUCAACUUUUGUUGAUGAAUGGCUUGGAUAUGGGAGUUGCUGGUUUCUCUUUUGAGAUCAGCUCUUCUGAAAAGCAUUAGCUGGUUGCCUUGUGCAAACUUGUCUAUUGGUGUGAUAAUUAUCUACGCCGUUGACUGUUUGUCAGUUUAAGCACUGCUUCCAAUCGUCUGUACAGACAAUUUAUGACC